GAUUAACUCCUGCUAGUCUCUUUUGUCAUUUUAGUUUUUAAUUUCACUCCUUACACUACUUUAUAUAUAUUUGUAGUCAAAGGGGAAAUUUCACAGCAUUACUAUGCCAAAAUUCAAAGUGCCUGCCAGUCCCUUUUUUCCCCUGGGGAGAUGGACAUACCCCAAGUUUUGGGUAACCCCUCUUCCAGCUCUAUUCCCCUUCUUCUGCAGUAGACCCUAUGCCUAAUGAAGCCCAGUCCCUGG